UUGAACGCUGGCGGCAUGCUCUACACAUGCCAGUCGAACGGUAACAGGCCGCAAGGUGCUGACGAGUGGCGAACGGGUGAGUAAUGCAUCGGAACGUGCCCAGUCGUGGGGGAUAACUACUCGAAAGAGUAGCUAAUACCGCAUACGAUCUAUGGAUGAAAGCGGGGGACCGUAAGGCCUCGCGCGAUUGGAGCGGCCGAUGUCAGAUUAGGUAGUUGGUGGGGUAAAGGCUCACCAAGCCAACGAUCUGUAGCUGGUCUGAGAGGACGACCAGCCACACUGGGACUGAGACACGGCCCAGACUCCUACGGGAGGCAGCAGUGGGGAAUUUUGGACAAUGGGCGCAAGCCUGAUCCAGCAAUGCCGCGUGCAGGAAGAAGGCCUUCGGGUUGUAAACUGCUUUUGUACGGAACGAAACGGCUCUGGUUAAUACCCGGGGCUAAUGACGGUACCGUAAGAAUAAGCACCGGCUAACUACGUG
rnacentral:rRNA from 1 species